CACCUAGCAGUCAUGUCUGUACAGGCUAGAAGGGUUAAGUGUCGGCUUUUGGAAAGCAGCAUAGGUAGCACUUAAGUGCUGCCCACACCCAGUAGAAAUAAGGAGUAGAAACAUCCCUGGGGUAAGGUGUGAUUUGCAGAAAUGACAGUAAUGCACAGGCAAGCAGGUCAUCUUGAUAAACAGAUAUGCAUACACUAUGAAUUACAGUAUCUUCAAAAACACACCCACAAUGAAGAGAGGAACCGAACUCAGUAGACAAAGGCACCCAAACCCAAGGAAUAAAAUGAAUCAGUUGAGAUCUUGGACUAAAAGAUGACAAUUCAUGCAAAUUUUAGUUGAUGGGACAAAUGACAGAAAAUACACAGCUGAUGAUUGCAUAAUGCUGGUAUCUAUCAAUAAAAAGAGGUGUGCAGGAAGAUCCAGAAAUUUCAACAUCCAAAUUAAUCAGAGUUCUGGAAGGCAGCAAUAUAGAAAAUAGAGAACAGUGGAGAGAGGAAUAGUAAUGGUAGAGAAAAAUUUUCCAAGGCUGAAAGAAGAUGCCAGUCUUCAGACUGAAAGGCCCAUGGAAUGCCUAACACAACAAAUGAAAAAGAGAGAGAGAGAGAGAGAGAGAAAGUCGUGACCAAGUAAUGAUAUCAUUUCAAAAUGCCAAAGUUUGUGGCUUGGACAACUGGGCAGAAUGGUAG